rnacentral:lncRNA from 1 species
UAAAAAACACAUGAAAUCUCACCGGAGAAAAUCCAAGAAAACCGGCCAACUUCAAACCCUACGAUCUCGACGUCCAAAACCUUCAAACUAAGUACUCCAAGCUUCCUUGGGACCUUACUAAGCUCCCUGUAGGCUUAGAAUUCCCUGAAAACCAACAUUUCACGUGUGCAUGAACAUUGACAUCAAACGGUUUCGACGUGAUUUCAUGGUUUCCAGUUCUAAAAAUAGUACCAAUCGAUUCAUGAGAUAACAAGGAUGAAGGAACUCAGCUUUUUGUCGUCGAUCUGUGAAGUUUUGAGGGGUUUUGCUCUUGUCCGUACAAGUUCAAAAGGGAGGGAGAGAGAGUGAACUGAGAGGGAGGAAAGAGAGAGCACAAGGUGAGUAUGCUUGUCCCGUGUGUGUGUAUGGUCCACCCAAAACAAAUCACAAUCCAAAUUUCUUUAAGUCCCUAACCACACAAAAAUGUAUACCAUUUUAAUCCACUUAAAAUUUCCCAAGAACUUAAGAGAGUAUGCAAUAUUCAAAUAAACAUGUCACACAUACCUUAGCAACCGUUAAGGGCAAUUCCAUCAUUUCACAUCCAUGAUAAAUGAAAUUUCAGGACGGGCUGUGACAAUAUACCCUCCUUAUAGAAUUUCGUCCUCGAAAUUCAUACAACACUCACUCCACUAAUACUCAUAAAACAACCUUGGGUGCAUCUCUCUCAUUCGAUCUUCUGUCUCCCAAGUAGUUUCUUCCACUGAGUGGUUCCUCCACAAUACUUUUACCAAGCUCACUGUCUUAUUCCUUAGAACUUUGUCUUUCCAAUUCAAGAUAGUCACUGGUUCCACAUCAUACGUCAAAUCCGGAUUAAUCUCCAAAGGUUGAGGAGGAAUCACAUGUGAAGGAUCUUAAACAUAAUGUCGAAGCAUCGAGACAUGAAACACAUUAUGCACCUUAGAUAACUCCGGAGGCAACUCCAAUCUGUAAGCAACUUCACCAAUCAUUUUAGUGAUCUCAUAAGGUCCUAUAUGCCUAGGACUUAGCUUGCUUUUCUUUCCAAACCGCACUACACCUCUCCAAGGUGACAAUUUCAAGAAUACCAAAUUACCCACAUCAUAUACUCGAUCAGUGGCAUGUCUAUUUGCUAAACUCUUUUGUCGAUCCUGGGCCGCUUUCAGGUUAUUCUUAAUCACCUGAACAUUUUGAGUAGUCUCAUCCACAAUCUCUGGGCCCUCUAGAACUCUGUCGCCAACCUCUGACCAACACAAUGGCGUACGACAAGCUCUACCACAAAGUGCCUCAAAUGGUGACAUACCAAUGCUCGAAUGAAAACUAUUAUUGUAGGCAAAUUCCAUCAAGUCUAGGCGAUCAUGCCAAGAAUCACCAAAUUGUAACACUGAAGAUCUUAACAUAUCUUCUAAUGUCUGAAUAGUCCUCUCUGAUUAUCCAUCUGUUUGAGGAUGAUAAGCAGUGCUGUAAAGCAAUUUCGUACCAAAAGCUUCUUGAAAAGCUAUCCAAACUUAGAAGUAAAUCUUGGAUCUCGAUCAUAAAUAAUAUUCACUGGAACUCCAUGAUACUUCACAAUCUUCGUGAUGAACAACUUAGCCAAUUUAUUUAGGGGAUACUUUUCCCUCACUAGAAUGAAGUGUGCUGACUUGGUAAGCUGAUCUACAACCACCCAACACCAUUAAAUCCAUUAUGUGUACGUGGAAGCUUAUACACAAAAUCCAUAGUUAUAUUUUCCCAUUUCCACUGAGGAACAGGAAGUGGUUGCAUCCGUCCAAAAGGCUUCUUUCUUUCUGCUUUGACUUGCUGACAAACAAUACACCUACUUACAUAUUCUGCAAUUUCCCUUUUCAUACUCGGCCAAUAAUAAAAUGGUCGAAUGGUAUGGUACAUCUUAGUUCCUCCUGGAUGCAUCGCAUAAGCCAAACAAUGUGCUUCAUCCAAAAUUUCUUUCUUUAAUUCCUCAUUAUUCGGCACAUACAUUCUGUUCUCCUGCAUAAGCAUGCCAUCUGAUUCUCGAAUCUUGAGGUCUUUCUUUUUCCCUUCAUUUCUCAAUCGAAUCAUUUCUUGGAUCUCUUCAUCAACCAUCUGAGCUUCAAGUACACGAUCGACCAAAACUGGCCUGACUUGGAAACUAGCAAGAAAAGCUUAUCUUUGCUCUUCUAUCUCCAACUUUACCCCAGUAGCUCUCAAAUCUGCAAGAAGAGGAACACGACAAGCAUAUAAAGCAUUAAGUCGACCUUGAGGUUUCCUACUCAGUACAUCAACUACCACAUUUGCACGACCUGGAUGAUACUCAAUAGUGCAGUCAUAAUCACUUAGUAACUCCAUCCACCUUCGCUGACGAAGAUUAAGAUCAUGCUGAGUAAAAAGAUACUGAAGACUCUUAUGAUCCGUAAAGAUCUUACAUUUCUCACCAUAGAGAUAAUGCCUCCAAAUCUUCAAAGCAAAGACAAUGGCUGCCAACUCAAGAUCGUGAGUAGGAUAAUUCCUUUCAUGAAUCUUCAAUUGUCGAGAAGCAUAGGCGAUCACUCUAUUAUGUUGCAUCAAGACACAUCCCAAACCAUUCAAGGAAGCAUCACUGUAAAUCUCAAAGUUACCGCUAUCGUCAGGAAGUACCAAUACUGGAGCAUAAGUGAGGCAAUAUUUCAGCUGUUGUAAACUUUGCUCACAAUUCUCGUCCCACUCGAACUUAACAUCAUUCCUGGUUAACUUCGUUAGUGGUAAAGCAAUCAUAGAAAAAUCUUGAACAAACCGUCGAUAAUAACCUGCUAGACCAAGAAAACUCCAUACCUCAGUGACGGUUCGUGGUUGUUCCCAAUUCUCCACUGCUGCUAUCUUUUGAGGAUCUACUUGAAUUCCUUGUGCCAAUACUACAUGUCUCAAAAAUGCCACUUGAUUCAACCAAAACUGGCAUUUGCUAAACUUGGCAUACAACUGAUGUUCCCUCAAUUUCUUUAAUACCAAGUUAAGAUGUCGAAUAUGAUCUGCUUUCGACUUAGAGUAUACCAGAAUAUCAUCAAUAAAAACAAUGACAAACCUAUCAAGAUAUUGCUGGAAUACUUCAUUCAUUAACCUCAUGAAAGCUGCAGGUGCAUUAGUCAAUCCAAAUGGCAUCACCAAAAACUCAUAAUGUCCAUAACGGGUCCUGAAAGCCAUUUUAGGUACAUCUUCAUCUUUAAUCUUCAACUGAUAAUAGCCAAAUCUCAAAUCAAUCUUAGAGAACACACAUGCACCUUUAAGCUGAUCAAACAAGUCAUCGAUACGAGGCAAUGGAUAAUGGUUUUUAAUCGUUACCCAAUUCAAUUGCCUGUAAUCAAUACAUAAUCUCAAAGUUCCAUCUUUCUUUCUUACAAACAACACCGAAGCUCCCCAAGGUGAAGUACUAGGUUGAAUGAAACCUUUAUCAGUUAAUUCCUGUAACUAAAUUUUCAAUUCUCUCAAUGCAGCUGGAGCCAUUCUACAUGGAGUCAAAGAUAUAGGAUCCGUACCUAGAAGCAAAUCAAUAGAAAACUCCACAUCUCUAUCUGGCGGCAAUCCAGGCAAAUCAUCUGGGAAUACAUCAGGAUAGUGCCUAACUACUCCAACUUCCUCUACACUGCUAAGAAAAACAUCAUUUAACACCACAUGUGCUAAGUAUCCUUGAGAACCUUUUGAUAACAACUUUUUUGCUCUCAUGGCAGAAAUAACACCAUGUCUCACCCCACUUCUUUCACCCACAAAAGUAACUUCUGGUAGUCCAGGACGAUGAAAGGUAACUGAUUUCCCGUAACAAUCUAUAUGGGCACGAUUAUAAUGCAACCAAUCUGCCCCUAAAAUCACAUCAAAAUCCACAAUAUCUAACGGGAUAAGAUUAGCUGGCAUAACUACACCAUCUACCAUCACUGGACACCCUGGAUAAACAAUAUCAACAUAACAUUUGUCCCCUCUAGGCAUAGCAAACUCUAAAUCAAAUCCUAGAGGUGUAGGGUGAGGUUGUGUCAUUUGAGCAAAUGUAUGAGAAAUCACAGAAUGUGUAGCACCACAAUCAAUCAAAACUCUAGCAAAGUGACCAAGGAUGUUUAACGUACCCAUAAUCGAGUCCGGAUGAUUCUGAGCAUCUUGCAGUGAGAUGCGAUUAACACGUCUAUGAGCUUGUUGUCGUCCUCCACGACCUCUAUUACCUUGAUUACCUAGCCCCUGAGAAGUACGUCUCUGUCCUAUCUGGCUAGACUGCCUAUACGAUCCUGCACUGCUAGCAGCAACCUCUCCCUGUCAGGGCUGACCUCUCUGAUACCACUGAGAUCCACUAGCUGGCAUGGAAGGAUCCUGGGAAUACUGAUACUGUCCGGAAGCAUAGGGAGCAACAUCACCCUGAUAGUGGUAAGCACCACCACGACCCGCCUGACCAUAACUGCCUGAUCCAAAGUUCUGCUGAAUCGGCGCUUAUGUGGCAUAGGAGACUGCUGAGGCCUCUGUUGACUUUGGGGACACUGAGCAUCUCUAUGUCCCAACUGUCCACAAGUGUAGCAACCACCGCCGCUUCUCCUACACUCUCCAUGAUGUCUGAAAUUACAACGGCGACACAAUGGAGGACCUAAACCACCAGCACCACCAAAGUCUCUCUGUCUCUGAAACCUGGGUCCACCAGUAAACCUUCCACCUCUCCUUGGGCCUAUGACACUAAAUCCUCCACUGGAAGAACUCGAGCUCGCUCCACUUCUCUUGAAAUUCUGUGUCUUACGGGGACCCUAAGUGGAGAUACCUUUACCUCUGUCAUCUUUCCUCUGAUUAUCAUUCUUAUCUUCAUCUCACUAUUACUAGGGAGGUUUUCAGAAUCCUCCAUCCGAACCAAAAUCUCAAAAAACUCAUGGUAAGUGGUGCAAGGAAUCGCACUAGCAAACGUUCGCCAUUUCCUCUUAGUUCCCAGCUUAAAACGGCAAAGCAUCUCUACCUGAUUACCAGCUAUAUCAGGAUCAUAGCGGGAUAAGUCUGUAAACUUCCUGUAAUACUCAUGCGCUGACAUAUUCUUUUGCUUCAAUUGAGUGAACUCCUGCUUCUUAUGAUCAAUGUACUCCGAGGGAACAAAUCUUUUCUUGAAAUCCUUUUUGAAUACUUCUCAAUCAGUUGCCGCUUCAGGUGACAUAAACUUAGUUUAAUUUACCCACCAAGUUGCUGGCUCUCGUCCUAAAAACCAAGUAGUGGUCUCGAUCCAUCUACUAGCAGGAAGAUUUCCUUGACUCUGCAUCACCUGAAAGGUCUUCUCAAUAUGGUUUAACCACUUUUCUGCCCCUUCAUGACCCUCAUUACCCAUGAAGCGGUCUAAUUACAGAUUAUACAUAGUCUCCAGGGAUGUUCUUUGAGGAGGAGGAGGACAGAUUGCAUUCUGAAAGGCAUGGGCCAUCGCUUCCCCUAAUUGAGUUAUGUCAGGGAAAUUAGGCUCAGAAGCACGACGUGAUUCCCUACGAGGCGGCAUAGUUCUGACAGAAGACACCAAAAGAUCAUUAGAGCAUUAACAAUUUAUACAGGACUGCAAACCUAGGCUCUGAUAAAAGAAUUACAAAGGAAUAAAAACCAACUACUAGCAGUAAUAUCCAACUAACAUGCUAGAGUGAGUUUAAGUGUGAAACACAUAUAUUCAGAGCAUAAGUACUAAGUUCAGUCAAGUAGGACCAUUACUAAAUUACAACACCCAAAGGUGAGUCCUACAUUUAUGUAGUCUGUCAGAACGCCGUGGGAAUCCUCGUGAGCCACCAACACUGCUAACUAGAACUUGGAGGGGCGCAAAACAAGAUUGAGUGGGUCAGUAAAAAAAAGCUUUUCGAAAGUAUUUCAAUUAAUAACACUUCUAACCCCUCGCUGUAAAACCUGUAUACUUUCCCAGAAAAAUAGUAUAUAUAACCAUAUAUAACAACAAUUAGCUUAAAUCACAAGUCUUUAACACUUUUCAAGAAAUAUGCCAUGCUAUGCUUCAAAACAUAAUAAGGAUGCAUCAAUAUAACAAAUGAAAUAAGGAAUCAACCGGAGACCCUGCAGCUGUCCUGUACGGUUAAUUCUAUAGCUUAAUAUCCAACCCAACCGGAUUCACCACUGUGACCUGUACGGCACUACUCUGCACAUAAAUCGGAACUACCUGAAGUAGUCUGUACGACAAGAAUGGUGUAAGAAUACGCUCUAGUGCUUUUCUCAUCAACAACUGUAUAAUAAUCUAAAGUCACCUACAAGUUGGAACCACCUUUAAUGGUUUGUACGACAUGUCGGAACCACCUCUAGUGAUCUGUAUGACAUGCACCUACGUGGAUCCAAGGUGAGCGUGUGGUGCGGGGUGAAUAAUAUAAGCACUAACACCAGGGGUGUAGGUUAUGAGCUCUCAACACAAUUCACAUUAUCAAUAAACCAUAUGAACAACAUAAAACUCACCUGAUACUCACAUGUGCGUCCACAGCACCAUUUCACAUAUAUGCAUCAAAUACUAAUUCAUAUAUUUCAUAUAUUAUGUAUGCAUGGCAUUUUAAAACAUACUUUCAUUUAAAUUCAAUUUUUGGGAAAAAUCAGUAGUAUAUAGGUAUAAACAGAAAAUAACUGCCCACUCACUGGUAAGUAGAAGGGUCAUAAACCCCGUGAUGCCCUUGAAUGCGCUCGUCCUCGUGAUAGGUCUCACCUAUAUGCGAAACAACUAUAAAAAUGUUAUUUUAAAGCACAUAACCGUCAAUAUGUAAUAACUUCUCAUACGAUGCUCAAAUUAGGUAUAUGAAUAUAUCACAGUGACCUACUCGACGUCCUGGACGACGAGGUAUUUUUAGAAAAAAAAUUUGGAUCUGUCCCGCGCCCCCACGCGUGUCAUCCCCUACCUUCAGUCGCCGGACUGGUUUUGCCGGCGAUGGAAAAGUUGCCGGUUUCUGGGAAAUUUUCAAACUUCUUAUUCUCCGUCAAUUCUCAACCAUUUUUUACGCAAUUUAUACCAAAAUGAAGCCCUAAGCAUGUAGAAUCACGAUGUACUAAUUUAAGGCUAAAAAAACACACGAAAUGUCACCGGAGAAAAUCCAAGAAAACCGGCCAACUUCGAACCCUACGAUCCCGACGUCCAAAACCUUCAAACUAAGUACUCUGAGCUUCCUUGGGACCUCACUAAGCUCCCUGUAGGCUUAGAAUUCCCUGAAAACCAACAUUUCACGUGUGCAUGAACAAUGACAUCAAACUGGGUUACAGUUUCGACGUGAUUUCGAGGGUUUCCAGUUCUAAAAAUAGUACCAAUCGAUUCAGGAGGUUG